rnacentral:lncRNA from 1 species
ACUCAAAUGGCUGAGAGUUGCUGAAAUGUUCGAUCAGAAGGUCAGGAUUGUGCUUUACUAUAUCAAGUGGUGGUGGCGCACUCCAAACGUGUGAUCCGACGGCCCAAAUUGCUCCACAGGUUUGAUCCAAUGGUUAAGAUGGUUUUUGACUGAGAAUAGAGUUCUAAGUUGAGUUUUUUUGCACCAUCCAAUGGUCUAGAAUCAAUCUGAUGCA